AGCCCUGUAGUGUAGUUGGUCAAACAUCACGUGCUCUGGACGCGUAGACCUCGGUUCGAAUCCGAGCAGGGCUA
rnacentral:tRNA from 1 species